CCUUUGAUGAGACGUGAGAAUUCGUGAGUUAAUACCUUUGCUUUGAGUUAGAGCAUUACAUCUUGGGUGGAGAGCCCUGCCCUGAAUCCAAACAUUGAAGGGAAGAGGUGAUUUUUCUCCAUGAAUCUGUUUAGGCGAUUGAGGAUUACAUGUUGCAUGAGUUUGCCUGCACAUGAAGUGAGGGAGAUUGGGUGCAAAUUAGCUAGGUCGAGCAGUUUGCCUGGCUUUGUGAUGAAAGUAGCCUUUGCAUGUUUCCCGUGGGGAGGCAAUGUGCCUUGUUCCUAGUGGUGGUUACGAUGUUUGGUUAGGACCCUAAUCAAGCCUGCAACCAGGUUGCGUAGAGAUUUGUUGUUGACGUGAUCGGGGCCGGGUCCUGAGGUGGUGCGUAGGGCUGUCUAAUUCUUGGUUGGGAAGGCCUCCGUAGUCUGACAUGGAGUCGGUCGCGUACUGCGGAAAGUAGGUAUGGAUUAGGAUUUGUACUGCGUUCUGACCUCUCUGCUUCGUUAGGUGGAACACUGGGGUAAUUAGUUUGCUAGUUUCCACCUUGGCUUUAGAUGUUUCUAACAGGCGACGUAGGAAGGACCACGUUUAUUUAAAUUGAAGGCUUCCAUCGAGCCUAUUGUAGAUCUGUGUCCAGUGUUGAGAGGCAAGGUUAAUGGCAUGUUCUGUGAUGAGGUGGAGGACGGUGGACAUGCGGCGCCGCAAUAAGCUUGGUUGUGCUUUUGUCUCGGCCAGCGUCUUUCCAUGCUUUGACAAGCUUCCCAUAGGUGUAGCAAACAGCUGUCGACUGGCUCGUUUUCCUGCCCAGUCGCUAGUUUCUGCUUAGUCGCUAAUUUCUUAUGUUUGUGUAGCUGGGCGACCCAUUCCUCGUAGUCUGAAAUGGAGGUGGCUUGUUCCUGCUUUCUCAUUUUUCUAAAUUUAUCCCAGUCUACAAUAGGCUCGAGUUGGUACCAUGUUCUGAGAUUACCUGCCUGAAGGGUGAUGUCAAUUAUAUAAUGAUCACUGCCUAGGGUUAUGCCAGUGUUCUGCCAGUGUGGCCGACUAAUGUUUUUAACGAGUGUUAAGUCCGGGCACGUGUCCCUGCUCACGCCAUUUCCUAUACAGGUAGCUUGCGUGGUGUCCGUGGCAAGGGUAGCUUGUGCUGCUGGAUGAAGUCGUAGAGUUGUCUUCCUUUGAUAGUGGGGGCCCUGUAGGGAGAGGGCCAUGGAUUUCUAUUGGUUCAUGGCACAUAAUGGGUAGGGGAGCUUUGGGUUGUGUUAGUGCAUUUAAACGCUCAAGUAUUAAGGACAUUUUUUGUUUGAGGUGCUGGUUUUCUUUGGUGAGAUGGUCUAUAGUGGAAUGAUAGUACAUUUCUUGGGUAUCUGAGCAACUACUGGCGCGUUAGUAGACGCUAUCUGCCCAGUUCACCUGUUGAGAGUCCUGCUUCACCGUGGGUGUGUCCCGUCGUGUCCCGGGUCCACUGGAUCAGUGGACCCGGGCUCAUUUUUGAAAUCAGUUCAACAAAGUUUUGCGCUCUGCAGCGUUGUGUAGCUGUUGCCCAUUGCCCCCAAAUCACCCCUCCAGCGGCGUAACAGUAACACUAGCUAGAAUUAGAAACUGCUGGUGUAAAUUCUGCCUUCCCCCCCCCCUUGCUGUGAAAGUGAGAAAAAGAAACGGCGCAAUGAAGUGAUUGACCCCAGUCUGUACAGAGGUCUGUCACCAGCUGGAUCUUGAAAGCAACACUUCGUUUGAAGACUGUGUGCAGCGUAACAGUGAACUCCUUACCUGUGCUGAACUAUCAGAUCUGGAAAUUGUUUCCAGUGUUCAUCCAGAAAAGUUCGACGAGAAAGAUGCAAUGGCAGAGGCAGAUCCAAAUCCUGUAACUAGCCGAGGCUGCAAGAUGCCUUGGAAAGAUGCGAGAUGUGUUGCAGCAACAAGCUGUGCCAGGGGAAGUGUACAAAACCAUGCUCUCUAGACAGCUUAGUUACUUCUUGUGCUUUGAAAGUACCAGUGCAAAUGAAAAUUAGAUUUUAUUUUUCAGAAUGAGAUAGGCAGCAACGUAACUGUUACGCACUUCGUAUGUAUUGAUGUACCAAACUCGAGAAUUGCAUUUCACCCUUUUGACUCGAUGUCUGCUGUGCCCUAUGCUGUUCCAUAUUCUAGUGAAUAUUCAGUUCAGUGAACUAUUUGCUUGGAUCCCUUGAAGUCCACUCAAGCGAAGUUCUAUACUGUUCGCUUCAAGUGUUUUAAUGUGAUUAGCAUUAUUUGCCUACUUCGGCCGUUUUCAGCCUGUCUAUCCUCUCGCGCUGACCCAGCGGCCCAAGAUGUAUACCAGCUUGGACCGCGAGGUAUUUGCUCAUGGUCAUGAUGCCGUCGUGGUCGUUCCAUCGUCAUCACACAGGCACUGUGAUAGUCGCCGUCACCCCAUUGUCCUCAUACCAAUACCAUUGUCAUGCCAUCGUCGUCAUUGUGCCGUCAGCAUACAGAGGUCAUGCAUUCGUUGUCAUUCCAUAGUCGCGAUACCGUCGCGAGUGCGGCUAACAAAUUUAAGAAGUAAUAAAUUCUGGAUUCUUACGUGCCAAAACCAUGACACGAUUAUGAGGUAGGCUUUAUAGAGGGACUCCGCAUUAACUUUGACAACCUGGGGUUCUUUGGCGUGCACCCAAUGCAUCUUAAGACUAGCCCAGCAGCACGUGCUUCUGGGCCACAUCACGAGCGUAUAAAAUGAGUAUAAAAUAAAAAGCAUUAUUGUACAAUUGAA
rnacentral:lncRNA from 1 species